CAUCUACCGAAGUCCUUGGAGCAAACUAAAUGUGUAAUCUGUAUACUGUGAAACAUCCAUAGUUUUUGUUGUACUUUGGAAUAUGGAUUCUUUGCACAGAAGUUCAAAAAUUUGUUGCCAACCAAGUAAGUCAGUAAAGGGUUGAGGGAUUACCCAUGGACAGCUUUUUUUAUGUUCUUCCAAUACGUCGAAAUCUUGUCCUUCACUUUGUAAAUUCCAAACACCCAAACGUCUGUGACAGUAGUUACACACAUACAAACGACCAGGAACUUGCUCACUCCAUCCAGUCAAUGCGAUGCCAAGCAAAACAGCAGCGUCCUCUUUCUCCCAAUCAACACGAAUUUUAUUUGCAACCUUUUCAAGACGUUUUAAGGUCAUCUCUUCAGGAAGAUGCGUAGAUACCAAGCGAGUGGACAGACUGUUAAACCGUCGUCCGACCUGAACCAGUUCGGCAGAUACUGAUAAAUGAUAAAUGUCUGGAGGAAAUUUAUGUAGUCUCCAUAAGCAAUUGUCUUGGUGUUCCUCUUUCAAAGAUACUUCCAACCGUUCCUUAGUUUUUUCUGGUAAUUCAUUAAGCGAAUCGUUCUCUGCAUCAACUUGCUGUAAAGCAGUUAAAUUAAUUUUAUUCCUACAAACAUCGCAAACUAAAAUGUUAUUGGAUUCACAAAGCCACCCAUUAAGGCAGCAGUUUAUCUCACCAAUUUGAGGAUCGUUUACAUAAGCCCACCGACUUCUAUAAGUCAACAAUCGUCUCAAAAACUCUUCUCUGCUCCAGGGCUUAUAUGUGCAUUUAGAAGCUUUUAGAGACUUUAAAAGAAUAUCUUCAUUUCUUUCGUCAAUUUUGUCUAACUGAUCCAAAAUUUCAUUUGUCUCCAUAUCGGUAGGAAAUGACAUUAUCACCCGUUCUAAGAGUUAAAAAAUUAUAUUUCUUUUCGAAAAAUGUGGUGUCUCAAAUAUUAUCAUAGAAAACUUUUAUUACAUGCCUUUUCCAAACGUUUUCAGCAGGAAUCAAGGUAGCGCAAGUCAAAGUACUUAGGAAGGAUCUCAAAAUACCAAUUUGGAUCAUGAGCUCAAUAUUCGUUUCAUCAAAAUUGUUAAAAAGUUUUACCGUUUUAAGAAAACAUGUCCAUGUUAUUAGCCAAACCACACUUGAAGGCAUAAAUUCCUUGAAAUUGAUCAACACCACCGUAUAGUAAAUUUACGAGAAUACUAAAAGUAAAAUAGUAAGGUAAUAUGGAAAAUAACUAUACAAUUAACC